CUUGAACGCUGGCGGCAGGCCUAACACAUGCACGUCGAGCGAGAGGCGGACGGGGGAGUAAUGUAUGGGGCCUGCCCGAGAGAGGGGGAUAAAUACUGGAAAAGGUAGCUCAUACCGCAUACUAUCGGAUAACCCAGAUGGGAUUAGCUAGUAGGGGAGGUAAUGGCUAACCUAGGGGACGAUCCCGAGCGGGUAUGAGAGGAUGAGCAGCCACACUGGGACUGAGACACGGCCCAGACUCCUACGGAGGCAGCAGUGGGGAAUAGUGCACAAUGGGCGCAAGUCGGAUGCAGCCAUGCCGAGUGUAUGAAGAAGGCCCUAGGGUUGUAAAGUACUUUCAGUCGGGAGGCGUUACCGGCAGAAGAAGCACCGGCUAACGCCGUGCCAGCCGCCGCGGUAAUAC
rnacentral:rRNA from 1 species